UACGGGAGGCAGCAGUGGGGAAUAUUGCACAAUGGGCGCAAGCCUGAUGCAGCCAUGCCGCGUGUAUGAAGAAGGCCUUCGGGUUGUAAAGUACUUUCAGUCGUGAGGAAGGUGUUAAGGUUAAUAACCUUAGCAAUUGACGUUAGCGACAGAAGAAGCACCGGCUAACUCCGUGCCAGCAGCCGCGGUAAUACGGAGGGUGCGAGCGUUAAUCGGAAUUACUGGGCGUAAAGGGCACACAGGCGGUUAAUUAAGUUGGAUGUGAAAUCCCCGGGCUUAACCUGGGAAUGGCAUUCAAGACUGGUUAGCUAGAGUCUUGUAGAGGGGGUAGAAUUCCAUGUGUAGCGGUGAAAUGCGUAGAGAUGUGGAGGAAUACCGGUGGCGAAGGCGGCCCCUGGACAAAGACUGACGCUCAUGUGCGAAAGCGUGGGGAGCAAACAGGGAUUAGAUACC
rnacentral:rRNA from 1 species